UAUGAAGAACGUAGCGAAAUGCGAUAAGUAAUGUGAAUUGCAGAAUUCAGUGAAUCAUCGAAUCUUUGAACGCACAUUGCGCCCAUUAGUAUUCUAGUGGGCAUGCCUGUUCGAGCGUCAUUUCAACCCUUAAGCCUCUGUUGCUUAGCGUUGGGAGCCUACCUACCCGGUAGAUCCUCAAAGUUAGCUGGCAGGGUCGAGGUUCGCCCUAAGCGUAGUAGUUCUUUCUCGCUUCUGCGGCUGCCUAGGCCAUCGCCACAAGCCUUUUAAACUUCAAUGGUUGACCUCGGAUCAGGUAGGAAUACCCGCUGAACUUAAGCAUAUCAAUAAGCGGAGGA
rnacentral:misc_RNA from 1 species